rnacentral:rRNA from 1 species
UGGGUAACCUGCCUCAAAGAGGGGAAUAGCCUCCCGAAAGGGAGAUUAAUACCGCAUAAUAUGUUUAGGUCGCAUGACUUUAACAUCAAAGGAUUUUCUUUUAGAAAUUCCACUUUGAGAUGGACCCGCGGCGCAUUAGCUAGUUGGUGAGGUAACGGCUCACCAAGGCAACGAUGCGUAGCCGACUGAGAGGGUNAUCGGCCACAUUGGAACUGAGACACGGUCCAGCUCCUAGG